GACGUGGGGGGCGAGCGUUGUCCGGAAUUACUGGGCGUCAAGCGCGCGUAGGCGGGCUCGCAGGCGGCGUGUGGAAGGCGGGGGCUCAACCCUGAGCUUGCAGUGGGUACGGGCAGACUAGAGUGCGGUAGGGGAGACUGGAAUUCCUGGGUGUAGCGGUGAAAUUCGUAGAUAUCGGGAGGAACACCAGUGGCGAAGGCGGCGAUCUGGGAAGAUACUGACGCUGAGGUGCGAAAGCGUGGGGAGCAAACAGGG
rnacentral:rRNA from 1 species